rnacentral:piRNA from 1 species
CUGAAGCUGAGAUAAUCAGAC